ACUUAGAUAUCUUAAUUAAAAGUUUAAUAUUGAAGUCAUUAAUAUGGAGUAUUCCUCUAAGUA
rnacentral:tRNA from 1 species